rnacentral:rRNA from 1 species
UGUGGCCUACGGGGGCAGCAGUGGGGGAUAUUGCACAAUGGGGGAAACCCUGAUGCAGCGACGCCGCGUGAGUGAAGAAGUAUUUCGGUAUGUAAAGCUCUAUCGGCAGGGAAGAAAAAAAUGACAGUACCUGACUAAGAAGCCCCGGCUAACUACGUGCCAGCAGCCGCGGGAAUACGUAGGGGGCAAGCGUUAUCCGGAUUUACUGGGUGGAAAGGGAGCGUAGGCGGCCACGCAAGGCAGAAGUGAAAACCCGGGGCUCAACCCUGGGAGUGCUUUUGAAACUGUGGGGCUAGAGGGUCGGG